GCCACCGGGUCGUGUUACACGCACGGCAUCAGUCGCCGACCGCUUACCGUUCAAGAUAGUGGCGGCGCUCGCCAACGAUUUGGAUUGUGUCCGCUGAAGUGCGCGGUGAUUGCGUAUUAAAAACAGCUCUGCGGCUGCAGUGUUCGUAUCUGAUUGUUGCAGUAUAACUGCAAUGAUAAUAAUAUUAAUAUAAAUUGUAUACGGUCUUCGUUUCAACGACCGCGUAACACUCGUAAUAGUAAUAACAACAUUAUGAUAUCGAUGCACCGCCUUAACCGUGUCCUGUCUGUACCGUGGUAUACGUGUUAUAUGUUUCUCAUAAACGCGUAAAGGCCGACGUAAUUUUUGUUGGUCCAUCACAGUCUCACCACCGUCAGUGACGCGUCUUUAUUAUUAUUGUUAUGCGACACGUAUUCUCGAUUAUUGUCAUAGAUUUUUCGACGCCGGCAGAAAAAAAUAACAUAACACGACGAAAAUAAACAAAAACUAUAUAGAUAUCAACAGGUGUAUCAACUCGGCGUCCUGCGUCAAAUACGCGUGUCGUCAACGCGCCGCAGCUUUCAACGAAAAAUAAUAAAUUAUACCCAGCCAAAAGCUGCUCACGUGUGUACACGGACAGAUAUAAUCAUAAACGCACUGCCGUCUGCCACUGCUGCAGGACUUGGAUUAUACAGGACUCGAUUACAUCGCGGGACCCGAGUAGCCAGGAACGGCGACCGUGAUGUGCCCGAGCUUCACGACGGCGGCCGAGACGCGGCAGCAGUUGUAGGGUCCGACGGCGGAAAGGGGAGGGGCGCGCGCGCUACGGUUAUAAGAGACGACCGCGGGGGGCACUCGGCGGCGCGGCGAUGACGCGGCCACGUCGGCGGUCAAAGGUCGAGGCGAUAACGGCAGCUGCGGUGCACCCGGCAGCAGCGGCAGAACCGAACCGAAAGCCAUCGCGGGACUUCGAACGCGAUACGACAGUGUGACGACGUUGGGCGCGGGGCUCGAUCACAAAACGGUUCGCGUAGCCGAAAUAUAACGUGACCCAUCGACGACGACGAUAAUAACAACAAUAAUAACAACGAUAGCAAAAGCGACAAAAAUUAUAGUUGCAACAUCUGUGGAAAAAAAUUUAAGCAUAAAACAAUUGUUUAAACACGGUCUGGUGGCGGGAGGGCGCGGCGUAGGGCACUCCGCCGCCGCCGGUGCCGGUUCGUCAGCGACGCGCAGCAGCAGAUCCGAUGCGUCCGGCGCCAACGCCGCCGCCGUUCGUCAACGCCGUCUGCAGCAGCUUUACCGCCGCGUCGUGUUCCCGUCACGCCAGCCGCAGCCGCAGCCGCCGACGCCGACGGACCCGUAACGACAACUCACUGCCGCCAUGAAACUCCGCGACCGAGUGGUGGUCGGCUUCUGCCUGUCGCUGGUCCUGGUCACCGUGCUGUUCGUGGUCGACCUGCAGAACGAGAACGCCCGCCGGCAGGCCGUGGCCGACGGUGACGCUCAGUCGCACUUCCACGGCCGGUCCGAUCGGUCCCGGGACGCUAUCGACGCGCAAUCCGCCUGGAACGCGGCCGCGUCGUUCGUCAUGUCCACACUGGUGCCGUCAAGCCAGCCGUCGCCGACACGUACCGGGAGCGCCGCAACCGUAUCCUCACGCCGCCGACGGACGUCCUCCAAAGCCCGCGGUGCCCGACCUGUACGCCGGCGACAGGUUCGCCGAUCUCACUGAGCGCCUGUCCCGGUCGUCCGAAACACGGCGGCAUCGCGGCAACGUACCCGACUGGACCGUCGUCCGGGACGUGAUCGUCGACGACACGGACGACGACGGCACCACCAGCAACGAGUACGUCGUUGAGUACUUGGAAGACGGUUUGAGCCGAUUAGACUCCGAAAAAAUUACCAAACACACACAUGGUCCGUAUCGGUUCUGGAGAAACGAUCCACUUCCAAAUGUGACUUAUAGGAGACAGUAAAUAAUAAUCACAAUAAUAUAUUACAUUAUUACGGCUAUUUUGUGCUUAGUUUCGUUUGUGCUAAACCAUUAUCCAUUUAUUACAACAUAAUACUGCCAACAUGUUAACGAUGCAUUUUUAAUUUUUUUUAUAAG